rnacentral:rRNA from 1 species
GACGAACGCUGGCGGCGUGCUUAACACAUGCAAGUCGAACGGUAAGGCCCUUCGGGGUACACGAGUGGCGAACGGGUGAGUAACACGUGGGCGAUCUGCCCUGCACUUCGGGAUAAGCCUGGGAAACUGGGUCUAAUACCGGAUAGGACCACUGCCUGCAUGGGUGGUGGUGGAAAGCUUUUGCGGUGUGGGAUGGGCCCGCGGCCUAUCAGCUUGUUGGUGGGGUGAUGGCCUACCAAGGCGACGACGGGUAGCCGGCCUGAGAGGGUGACCGGCCACACUGGGACUGAGAUACGGCCCAGACUCCUACGGGAGGCAGCAGUGGGGAAUAUUGCACAAUGGGCGCAAGCCUGAUGCAGCGACGCCGCGUGAGGGAUGACGGCCUUCGGGUUGUAAACCUCUUUCAGCACCGACGAAGCGCAAGUGACGGUAGGUGCAGAAGAAGGACCGGCCAACUACGUGCCAGCAGCCGCCGAAC